UACGUAGGGGGCUAGCGUUGUCCGGAUUUAUUGGGCGUAAAGAGCGUGUAGGCGGCCAGGUAGGUCUGCUGUGAAAACUCGAGGCUCAACCUCGAGACGUCGGCGGAAACCAUCUGGCUAGAGUCCGGAAGAGGAGAGUGGAAUUCCUGGUGUAGCGGUGAAAUGCGCAGAUAUCGGGAGGAACACCAAUGGCGAAGGCAGCUCGCUGGGACGUUACUGACGCUGAGACGCGAAAGCUAGGGGAGCGAAUGGG
rnacentral:rRNA from 1 species